rnacentral:tRNA from 1 species
CAGAACAUAGCUAAAAUAUAGCACUUCCCUUACUCUGAAUAGUUACCUAGUUAUGUAGGUUGUUCUGA